rnacentral:misc_RNA from 1 species
CCUCCAUUUGCUUCUUCCCUUAAACUCAUCCCCCAAUAACCCUUUCCAAUCCUCUCCGCCAUCCUCUUCCACGACCUCCACCAUAUAAAAUUCAUCUCUCCCCUUCCUCUUAUUUCUCNNNNNNNNNCGUCUCCUCUCCUUCUCCUCCCUUUCUCUUCUUCCUUGGCGGCCUCGAAAUCUUAGCUAAAUUCCUGAACUUAACAAACCCCCUUGAAUUGAACUCCUUUGCUAAUCUUUCCCGAUACAAAACAGGACUUAAUUCUUCACCAUCUCCCUCGGCUCUCCCGUAGAUCCUUCGAUUCAAUGCAUCAAAAUUUCCUUCCUCAUCUGUGUUCCCAUUUUGGGUGGCUCCCAAGAAAGGCACGAGCUCUUCUUCCAC